UCCUCAUGUCGACAGUGUGAACAUCUCAGACGGAGACAGAGUCUGCUGAGGAACAGUAAGAGCCAAACACUAACCCUACCCUGCCUCCACUAACACACAGUUCAUGUCCACUGCUGAAGGAGCUGCAGGAACAGAUUCACUCUCUGAGGUGGAGUCCUGAGCAGCAGACGCUGAUUAAAGAUGAUCCUGGAUUGAACAUCACAUCCUCUGAAACUCUGCAGCGCCUCCAUCAGUCCAACAAAACCCUCGUCCUGUGAGGAACUACAGACCACACUGUCCUCAGGCUUUUCUACAAGCUUCCACUGAAGGACAGUUUCACUAGACUGCUGAGCCAGAACAGAGUCCAGUUCUACAGUGUCACUGGUCACAAGAACCCAGAGACCAGCAGGACCAGUAUCUCCAUACUGGGAGACAGUCUGGAGACACGAUGACAUCAGAGGUGCUCUUGAUCAUCAUGGAUGAUCUGGAUGAUGAUCAGCUGUCUAAAUUCCAGUGGUUCCUGCAGAAACCCAACAAUGUUCAAGGCCUCCCAGCCAUCACAAAGAGCCGACUACAGACACUAGACAGGUGUAAAACUGUGGAUGUGAUGGUGGAGACUUAUGGACUUCAGAGAGCUGUGCAGGUGACCAGGGUGGUUUUAGAGAAGAUCUCCAGGAAUGAUCUGCUGCAGAGGUUUCCUGCCAGCAGCUCAGGACCAGAAGGUCAGUCACAAGACAAGAACAACAUGAUAUCAUUACAGUCAGAAAGAUGCAUGAUGGUGCUGCUGCAGUUUGAUAGAGUUCAGGUUCUGUCAGAUUUUCCUGAGUCCACAUGUAAGAUCAGUUCCUCUGUAAAAUCUACUGAUCAACCUACUGACUGAAUGCUGCCCCCUGCUGUUUAAACCUUGAUAGAACACCAAAAUUCGUUCUGUAUGAGCUGUGAAAACCAUAGACUGUAUAUAAAGAUGGACGUAGCAUCCGUGAUGUCACCCGUUGGUUUCUGCACUGAGAAAAUGAAGCCCGGAUUUUGCUACUUCCUGGUUGACAUUUUGGAUUUUUGGAGCCAGUGACGUCAACAAGGGCGGAACCGGAGAGCAGUGAUUGGUCAGACUGACUGAGAGCCGAGGACUCUCUGUCCCGCCCUCAUUUACCGGAUCUGCUGUUUACCUGCUGCUGCUAACAAUGGUAGCCUCCAAAAGUCGAGCUAAACUCAACAGCCUUGGUCUGGAUCAUUGGGAACAUCUGGUCUGAUGGACUGAGAGCUACAGAGAACAUGAACAUCCAGCUGUGGUUGUCUGAAGAGUCUUUUCUCCUUCAUCACUGUGAGGAAGAGCAGCACUGAUGUCCUCCUCAUCCUUCCAGUAAUAACAAUAAUGCUGCGUAUCUGCUACAAAUAACAUGGACUUUUUAGAUUGUAUUUCUGCUACAACAGCAGAGAUGAAGUUAAAGGUGAUAAAUGGAACCUGUGAAUAUGAAACAGUGUUGAACAGAUAGUUGAGUCUCUCCAUGACUCUGUCCCUCAGAAACAUGUUUCCACAUUCAUGGAUUAAAUGUGUUUCUUUGUGAAAUCCUUCUAAAUGAUUCCUUGUAAACUUGUUCCUCUUCAAAGAUGGAAGUUGUGAUUAUUCCAGGAGCUAAAUGUGAUGUUUGCGUCUUUUUCCAGUCAAAUGUUGAGAGUGAAAAUCAGGAUGUGGUGUUUCCUCUGAUGCUCACUUGAACUAAAAGCAUUUGAGCUGCACAAAGUGUGAAAUGAGAGAGGAAGCAGUGAAUCUACAAACUGCUGACAGACUUUCACACAUUAUUGUCCAGUGAAAAUCAGGUUUUUGUGCAGCCAGACUUGAUCCUGAUUUGAGUGUUUCAGUCCUGUUCUAGUGAUGAAAUGAGAACUUCCUUCAUCUUUGAUGAAGUAGCAGCUUCACCUGCUGCUCUUUUUGCUUCCAGCUGGAAAAAAAAGCUCAAAGUUAAAGGACACAAAACCAACAGCAUGAAUCCAGAAAUCUGAGGACUUUUAUUUGAGGAUUAAAUACACAUUUAGGGGGUGGAGAGGUUCAUUCAGUUGUAAAGAAAAGAUGUUUCUAUAACUGUUAGGAUUGUUUUUUAAAGGCACUGCUAGCUUAACACUGAAAUUGAUACCACAUACGAGUAUUACAAUAAAUGAUAUUAAUAUCAUUUAUUGUGUAAUAAAUGCAUGAGUUGUGCUUGACCUUUAAGGGAGAGAGAUGGAUUCCAGCAUUAACUCCAGGCUCUGAAGGACUGAAUACAUGAGGGAGACAACCAGGGACAAGUCAAGCUGGAAAGUUUUACAUGUACACACAACAAAUAGAUAAGAGACAUUUGGCUUAGCUUCACAGUAUAUUCCUGUUUCCUUAUAAGGUAAAAACUAAUUGCACUGAAACUGCUAAGUCAAGGUUGUUUAAGGGUGGAAACCAGAACAAUCCUCCCCAUGAGAUACCACCAGUAGCUGCAUCACAUCACAGCUAACACAGGAAUAGACUAACAGGUAGAGAGCAGGAAGAGGGUUCUAGCAGGGUUCUUUUUACAGGAUGCGGUUCUUGGAGAUUGGAUUAAUUGUGUGUCGAGAGACAUGGACAUAUCUGUGCACCACCCAUAGGGAGAAUUAAGUCUAAACCAUGGUUUAUUCCCACCUUUAGCCAAUCACAUUUCAAUAUUUGAAUUCUAUGUUUGUGUUCUGUAACCAAUCACAUUUCAUCAUACUGUAUACAAUGUUGUGUUCAUAUCAGACUUUAUCCUUUUCUGGGAGGCUGUUCCAAACAGAAAAGGUCC